AUUGAACGCUGGCGGCAGGCCUAACACAUGCAAGUCGAACGAGUGGCGGACGGGUGAGUAAUGUCUGGGAAACUGCCCGAUGGAGGGGGAUCACUACUGGACACGGUCGCUAAUACCGCAUACCCUCGGAUGUGCCCAUAUGGGAUGAGCUAGUAGGUGGGGUAACGGCUCACCUAGGCGACGCUCCCUAGCUGGUCUGAGAGGAUGAACAGCCACACUGGAACUGAGACACGGUCCAGACUCCUACGGGAGGCAGCAGUGGGGAAUAUUGCACAAUGGGCGCAAGCCUGAUGCAGCCAUGCCGCGUGUAUGAAGAAGGCCCUCGGGUUGUAAAGUACUUUCAGCGAGGAGGCGUUACUGGCAGAAGAAGCACCGGCUAACUCCGUGCCAGGAGCCGCGGUAAUUC
rnacentral:rRNA from 1 species